GCAUUUGGGCGCUUACACAUGCAAGUCGAACGGUAACAGGUUAAGCUGACGAGUGGCGAACGGGUGAGUAAUACAUCGGAACGUGCCCAGACGUGGGGGAUAACGUAGCGAAAGCUACGCUAAUACCGCAUACGAACUGAGGUUGAAAGCGGGGGACCGUAAGGCCUCGCGCGUUUGGAGCGGCCGAUGGCAGAUUAGGUAGUUGGUGGGGUAAAGGCUUACCAAGCCUGCGAUCUGUAGCUGGUCUGAGAGGACGACCAGCCACACUGGGACUGAGACACGGCCCAGACUCCUACGGGAGGCAGCAGUGGGGAAUUUUGGACAAUGGGCGCAAGCCUGAUCCAGCAAUGCCGCGUGCAGGAUGAAGGCCUUCGGGUUGUAAACUGCUUUUGUACGGAGCGAAACGGCUUCCACUAAUACUGGGGGCUAAUGACGGUACCGUAAGAAUAAGCACCGGCUAACUACGUGCCAGCAGCCGCGGUAAUACGUAGGGUGCGAGCGUUAAUCGGAAUUACUGGGCGUAAAGCGUGCGCAGGCGGUCUUGUAAGACAGUUGUGAAAUCCCCGGGCUUAACCUGGGAACUGCAUCUGUGACUGCAAGGCUGGAGUGCGGCAGAGGGGGAUGGAAUUCCGCGUGUAGCAGUGAAAUGCGUAGAUAUGCGGAGGAACACCGAUGGCGAAGGCAAUCCCCUGGGCCUGCACUGACGCUCAUGCACGAAAGCUGAAUG
rnacentral:rRNA from 1 species